GAUGAACGCUGGCGGCGUGCCUAAUACAUGCAAGUCGAGCGAACAGACGAGGAGCUUGCUCCUCUGACGUUAGCGGCGGACGGGUGAGUAACACGUGGAUAACCUACCUAUAAGACUGGGAUAACUUCGGGAAACCGGAGCUAAUACCGGAUAAUAUAUUGAACCGCAUGGUUCAAUAGUGAAAGACGGUUUUGCUGUCACUUAUAGAUGGAUCCGCGCCGCAUUAGCUAGUUGGUAAGGGAACGGCUUACCAAGGCAACGAUGCGUAGCCGACCUGAGAGGGUGAUCGGCCACACUGGAACUGAGACACGGUCCAGACUCCUACGGGAGGCAGCAGUAGGGAAUCUUCCGCAAUGGGCGAAAGCCUGACGGAGCAACGCCGCGUGCGUGAUGAAGGUCUUCGGAUCGUAAAACUCUGUUAUUAGGGAAGAACAAAUGUGUAAGUAACUAUGCACGUCUUGACGGUACCUAAUCAGAAAGCCACGGCUAACUACGUG
rnacentral:rRNA from 1 species